rnacentral:rRNA from 1 species
CCUACGGGAGGCAGCAGUAAGGAAUAUUGGUCAAUGGACGAAAGUCUGAACCAGCCAUGCCGCGUGAAGGAUUAAGGCCCUCUGGGUUGUAAACUUCUUUUAUCUGGGACGAAAAAAGGGUAUUCUUACUCACUUGACGGUACCAGAGGAAUAAGCACCGGCUAACUCCGUGCCAGCAGCCGCGGUAAUACGGAGGGUGCAAGCGUUAUCCGGAUUUACUGGGUUUAAAGGGUGCGUAGGUGGGCUUGUAAGUCAGUGGUGAAAUCUCCGGGCUUAACCCGGGAAACUGGCCAUUGAUACUAUAGGUCUUGAAUUAUCUGGAGGUAAGCGGAAUAUGUCAUGUAGCGGUGAAAUGCUUAGAUAUGACAUAGAACACCAAUUGCGAAGGCAGCUUACUACGGAUAUAUUGACACUGAGGCACGAAAGCGUGGGGAUCAAACAGGAUUAGAUACCCUGGUAGUCCACGCCCUAAACGAUGGAUACUCGACAUCAGCGAUACACUGUUGUGUCUGAGNGAAGANAUAGUAUCCACCNGGAGACGAGNGCGAAGAGUAGUUAACGUUACUAAUUAGAAGUUAGACGGCGNGAGAGAGCGACGGACGACGACGAGGGAGGAGGAG